rnacentral:rRNA from 1 species
UACAGAGGGGCAAGCGUUGUUCGGAAUUACUGGGCGUAAAGGGCGCGUAGGCGGCCUGUUAAGUCGAACGUGAAAUCCCCGGGCUCAACCCGGGAACUGCGUCCGAUACUGGCAGGCUUGAAUUCGGGAGAGGGAUGUGGAAUUCCAGGUGUAGCGGUGAAAUGCGUAGAUAUCUGGAGGAACACCGGUGGCGAAGGCGGCAUCCUGGACCGAUAUUGACGCUG